AGUGAACGCUGGCGGUAGGCCUAACACAUGCAAGUCGAACGGCAGCACAGUAAGAGCUUGCUCUUACGGGUGGCGAGUGGCGGACGGGUGAGGAAUACAUCGGAAUCUACUUUUUCGUGGGGGAUAACGUAGGGAAACUUACGCUAAUACCGCAUACGACCUACGGGUGAAAGCAGGGGAUCUUCGGACCUUGCGCGAUUGAAUGAGCCGAUGUCGGAUUAGCUAGUUGGCGGGGUAAAGGCCCACCAAGGCGACGAUCCGUAGCUGGUCUGAGAGGAUGUGCAGCGACACUGGAACUGAGACACGGUCCAGACUCCUACGGGAGGCAGCAGUUGGGAAUAUUGGACGAUGGGCGCAAGCCUGAUCCAGCCAUACCGCGUGGGUGAAGAAGGCCUUCGGGUUGUAAAGCACUUUUGUUGGGAAAGAAAAGCAGCAGGUUAAUACCCCGCUGCUCUGACGGUACCCAGAGAAUAAGCACCGGCUAACUUCGUG
rnacentral:rRNA from 1 species